UGCCGGGGCCUUGAGCCCCCUAAAGAGUCGUUCAAGACCAGGACGUUGAUAGGUCAGGUGUGGAAGCGCAGUAAUGCGUUAAGCUAACUGAUACUAAUUGCUCGUGCGGCUUGACCCU
rnacentral:rRNA from 1 species